rnacentral:rRNA from 1 species
GACGAACGCUGGCGGCGUGCCUAAUACAUGCAAGUCGAGCGCAGGAAAUCAUCUGAACCCUUCGGGGGGACGUUGAUGGAAUGAGCGGCGGACGGGUGAGUAACGCGUAAAGGACCUGCCCUCAGGUCUGGGAUAACCACGAGAAAUCGGGGCUAAUACCGGAUGGGUCAUCGGACCGCAUGGUCCGAGGAUGAAAGGCGCUUCGGCGUCGCCUGGGGAUGGCUUUGCGGUGCAUUAGCUAGUUGGUGGGGUAAUGGCCCACCAAGGCGACGAUGCAUAGCCGACCUGAGAGGGUGAUCGGCCACACUGGGACUGAGACACGGCCCAGACUCCUACGGGAGGCAGCAGUAGGGAAUCUUCCACAAUGGACGAAAGUCUGAUGGAGCAACGCCGCGUGAACGAUGAAGGCCUUCGGGUCGUAAAGUUCUGUUGUAAGGGAAGAACAAGUGCCGCAGGCAAUGGCGGCACCUUGACGGUACCUUGCGAGAAAGCCACGGCUAACUACGUGCCAGCCGCCGCCGUAACAC